rnacentral:sRNA from 1 species
UGGCGACUUGAUAGCAAUACAAUAUUGCU